rnacentral:rRNA from 1 species
AUGGGUUUCUCUGAGGCUGUGCAAUGGUUUGAUGAGUGGCAGCUGCGCAUUCUGGUGCUAGCAAGCCUCUUCAUCCAGUACUUCCUCUUCUUCUCCUCCGUGGUGCGCAGGUAUAAUGUUCCAUCAUGGCUCAGGCUGUUCAUGUGGCUUGCCUACCUAGGCGGGGAUGCCCUGGCCAUAUACGGCCUGGCCACCCUCUUCAACCGCCACAAGCAGCUGCCCACCGAUGGGAGCGGCCUGGAGGUCCUAUGGGCGCCUGUCCUCCUAAUCCACCUCGGGGGCCAGCACCCGAUGACGGCCUACAGCAUCGAAGACAAUGAGCUGUGGGCGCGGCAAGCCAUAACCGUGGUGUCCCAGGUCACGGUCGCCCUCUACGUCUUUUGCAAGUCGUGGUCCGGGGAGAAGAGGUUACUUCAGACGGCAAUCUUGUUGUUUGUCGUUGGGAUCGUAAGAUCCGUCCAGAAGCCAUGGGCUCUAAAGAAUGGUAGUAUCACUGACAUGGUCGCCUCUUCCUCUCCAUACACGCGAAGGGAACAAGGUUCUUUUGCAUUUAUCUGGGAAGGCUGCAUAUCCCUUGUUGGCACUGAAUUGUCCGACAAUGGGAAACAAGAAGAAGAAGCCGAAGAGCUGGACAUUCCGCUUGAAGAAUUUGUACAAGAAGCAAGAAGGUGCGUACUGCUGUCAGAGUUAGCCAGUGAUCAAGAGAAAGCAGAAAAACUUGCUACAAGCUCUGGGGAAAUGUAUGCCUACAGGCUACUUGUAGACAUAUCAAAACCAUACUCUAGUCGGGUUGAAAUGCUACACCUUUUAAUGGCCCUUGAUUGCCAACAUGCACAUUCCAUCUCAAAAUCCAUACUCCAUUGGUUAUUUGCGAUCCUCUACACAAAUUUGAAUAUGAUAUUAAGUCUCUUUGGCUUAUGUUUGCACCUCUUGCCUCCAUUCCUGACCUUAGCUUCUGUCAUCCUCUUCUCCACAAGCCACAAAUAUCAUGACUACAACACAGCAGAUGUGAAGGUAACACACAUCCUGUUCUGUUGUACCUUGCCGCUGGAUUUCCUAUUGCUAUUGGUCAGUCCUUUCAUUGAGGAAUUUGGAUGCAUCAAGGUUUCCCAGUAUAGCCUCCUGUCGUUCUAUGCUCGUAAGAAGAGGCCCACUACUUUGUUGAAGCUUGCCACAGUUGUGCGCUGCGAGGACUAUGUUAACAUGCAUUGUUAUAUAGAACACGGACCAUCUGAUUCCUCAAACACAAUUAUAGAGUUGGUUUUUGGAUAUGUGAGGGAUGGGUGGACAAGAUACAUCAACGACGCUACCAGCUACAAGAGAUUCAACAGCCACGGGGGCGAGUGGACAUUGAACCAGCAUCAUCUAGGCCACGCCAAACGGCUGGGGUGGAGCUUGAAGAUGGCGUUCGAUAGAAGCGUCCUUCUCUGGCACAUCGCCACGGACCUCUGCUUUCACCACCAAAGUACAACCCCUCACGGCCAAGAGCGUGCCGCUAAAAGCAGAGUGAUAUCCAACCACUUGGCUUACCUGCUCUGCAUCCGUCCUGAGAUGUUGAUGCUCGGGACCAGGAAAAGUAUCUUCAGUAUUGCCUGUGAAGAUAUCAAGCUCACGAUGGCUGGCAAGUUAGAAGCGGACGUAAGAAGACUUGCACAAGUAAUUCUUCACAGGUCGCAACAUGUUAGCAACAUAGGAGUCUUGGUCCCCAAUGCAUCCAAGCUUGCUGAAGCAUUGAUGGAGCUGCAGGAUGAACAGGUGAGGUGGGAGGUGAUCCAGGGGGUAUGGGUCGAGAUGCUAUGCUAUUCUGCCAGUACGUGCAGGGGGUACUUGCAUGGCAAGAACAUGAAUGAAGGUCCGGAGCUGCUCUCUCAAGUUUGGAUCCUCUUGUCAUUCAUGGGGAUGGAGACAUCUGCCGACAGGUAUCAAAAGUCAGAGCCUCCCGAAACCAUGGAAGAAGAAGAGGUAGAAGGUGGAGACGUUGGUGGUGAAGGCGGAUCCAUCCAGCACGAGAUUAACAUACCUGUCUAA